rnacentral:tRNA from 1 species
UUGUAUAGCUCAGUUGGUAGAGCAUCUGCCUUACAAACAGGAGGUCAUAAGUUCGAGACCUAUUGCAA